UAGAAGGUUCUAGCCCUGCCCUGGUUC
rnacentral:piRNA from 1 species